UGCCAGUUCGGAUUCCCGGUGGAGACAUACACACCGUUUGUCGAGCCAUGCUGUGGCUGCUAUAACACAAUACCACAGAAUGAGUGACGUCAACAAUAGAAAUUUAUUUCCUCACAGCUCUGGAGGCUAGAAGUCCAAGAUCAAGGUGCCAGCAGGAUCAGUUUCUGAUGAGGACAUUGACUCAGAGAAUUUAAGUAGCUUGGUGAGGUUAUGAAGCUGGUCCACAAGUCGCAGAAUUCUAAAUACAUCAUUGAUGACGAUUGUCUGUUUAUAGAUCUUUGUCUUAAAAAUCAUCAUGGCAUGCUCUUCUCUCGGACUAGUAACGGCAGGUACUGUUCCGAAUACCCUAAACCUAUUAAUGCACUUGACCCUCCAACCAGCCUGAGGAAGUAACUGCCCUUCUCAUCUUAUAGACACGGAAACUAAGCAACAUGGAGCUAAGUACCUUGCCCCACAUCCCACAACUGUGAGUAGUAGAACCAGGAUGCAGACCCGGAGUGUGAGCUCCAGACACUGAACUUUGAACCACGAUGUUAUGCUGUUUCACCUAAGUCUUCAGAGCUAUAUUUUCUUCGAGUGAAUUAUGUCCACAAAAUCCGAAUCCGUUAUUCCUCAGACAUGUAAUUUUGCAUAAAGAAAGCACUGCUAGACAAGAGGUAGCCCAGGCGGUCACCUGAUGAGAAAGAACAUAAGCACAGAUCCAUGGAAACAUACUCAACACUACCGACUUGUAAACAAGAGUUAAGCAAGCCAAGUGUGGAGAACGAAAUUCCAUACGAGUUUAGAAGAAAAACUCCUAAAUCAAGGUUAUUAGCAAAUGGCUCAGAGUAAGAGUGGGGUUUGAGGUGUCACUCAAAAAAGAAGAAUAGCAUUUGAGAAAGAGAAGGCAUAGAAGGAAGGUCAGCUUGAGCAAAGAGCAGGAAAGAAGAAAGCAAAGGAUUGUUCACAGAACAGCAAACACACCACCUGCUGGAGAAAUG
rnacentral:lncRNA from 1 species